UACGUAGGGGGCAAGCGUUGUCCGGAAUUAUUGGGCGUAAAGCGCACGUAGGCGGCUCUACAAGUCGGAUGUGAAAUCCCACGGCUCAACCAUGGAAGUGCAUCCGAAACUGCAGAGCUUGAGUACUUAAGAGGAUCGCGGAAUUCCCGGUGUAGAGGUGAAAUUCGUAGAUAUCGGGAGGAACACCAGUGGCGAAGGCGGCGAUCUGGGAAGAUACUGACGCUGAGGUGCGAAAGCGUGGGGAGCAAACAGG
rnacentral:rRNA from 1 species